rnacentral:lncRNA from 1 species
CUUUGGAAUUUGAUCUUGGUCUGAUUUAAUUAGGAUUUAAUGUAAAUUCUAAGGGUUAAUUUGAUAUGCUAGCACAUUGUAUUAACCCAAGUUCCUAAAUUGGUUCAGUUCAAAGCAUUUGAGCUAAACUAGACCAGUUGCCUUUGACCUAAUGGGAUCGGGUCUAAUUUAAUCUGGUUCUUAUCCAACUUGAAAGUGUUUCAAGUGUGGAAGGAGUCCUCUACGCCCACCAGGUCUCACGCCAAAAUAUUAAUGCCGCGUCCUCUUAAUUAGCAUUGAGAUGUGAAGAGUCCUUAAUGAAGGCUCUUAUCUUAUCUCUUUAUUUCUCAUCCAGAACUCUAUCUAUUUAUUUCACGCUGAUUUAUUAUGGGGAAUUUAUGGGGCGCAGAAGAGGAGUCCUUCUAUGUGAAGGCUCUUCUGCACCAAAAUAAAUCAUGAUGAUUUAUUUCACCAUGUGAGAAGUUGGAGUGCUAAAAGUUGGUGCCCCUUGGUCCUUCCUCACAUCCCUUCUUCACCUAUUUAUAUGUGGCAUCCCAUAUGGAUCAGAUGCUGGAUUUUGGGUGAAAAUCAGAACCAAUUUGCGUGUAAAAGAGAAAAAAUUCUGAAAAAAAUCUGAGAAAAAAAAAUUGAGGGAAAAAAGUUGUAAGAAGGGUGGUGAGAGAAUUAGCAAGUGUUGCUAGUUAGCCCUAGGAUUUGAUUUUUUCAUGUGUUGGAGCCCAAAAUCAAAUCCUAGGUUGUAAGACUUCUGAAGAGUGUCUUCUUGGCGUGAUUUUGGUGGCAAAAUCAAAGGUGACUAGGCUUUGGAGUGAUCAUACUUCGAGUUCAAAGCCAACAGUGUUCUUGUGAAGAAAAGACUACGGCAACGCACCAGUUAGGAAGGACCUUGGCCAACUUCCGUGUGGAUCAUCGUUGGAGGGCUUCUGCUUUGGAGUCUCAUAGAGAUCACCAUCAUACCAUAUUACUCUUCUGAGGAAGUAUAAACUUCUAUCUCUUUGCAUGUUUAUUUUUGUUUUAUUCGACAUCGACAAGGUGAUUCUAGGAUUUGGAUUUCGGUUCGAUGGUUUUAAUUGUUAAAGCUAUUGAUAUGUUUGUUUUAAAAAUUUUAAAAUUCGAUUUCUACUGCGUGAUUGGAACCCAAUAAUGGUAUCAGAGCCAUCCUUGUUAGAUUCAAUCAAACAAGUACAAAGUUUUAGUAUAGAAUUGUUCUAGUUCAAAUAUUGCCAAAAAUAUUACAUCGAUUUCUAGCAUUGGUCUUAAAAAAUCAAAAAUCAUUUUUUGACUUUAUAUGUACCAUGGAUUUAAAUUUCAAUUAUUAAAAUUUUGAAUUUAUGAUAAUAUAAAAUUUAUAGUUUCAUGGUUUCAUGAUACUUAAAUCGAUUUUAUGUUUAAGGGUGUUAUGCAUGCCUAAUUUGAUUAGUGUUUGUUUUCAAUUUGGCUAAGCUUGACAUUUGUUAAGUCAUUUUGUAUACCCUUAUAUGAUUUUUGGCAUGAUAAUAUGAUUGUUAUUAUGACUUGUAUAAGCAUGCCGAAUUGCAUAAUAUGUUUAGUACAUUUUAUGUAGUUGUAGUUAGGAUGUGUCGAGACCAGUUCAAAGAUCCUCUAUAAAAUUAUAUUAAGUUGUAAUGUCGGGAUUCACUUAUAAAUCAAAUGUCGAAUUCAUUUGAUCAAUUGGUGUCUAGGUAAGUGUUUAAGGUGAUUUUUUAAUUAGGUCCGUAUGCUGGCUUGGCCAACUUUGUUGGUAUCUAAGAAAAGCUACGGGGAGCCCCCCACCAACUGACUUGGCCAAUUUGGUCUUAUUAAAUUUUAGACUUAGAUUGAUUAGUGAUGUAGAUACUACAAGGGUCUUUCUUCAAACUUGGUCAAUAGAGUAUGUCAAGAUCUUAGUGGGCUUGUUGUGCUAGCCACAAGGCUUACUAUAGAAAUUGAUAUGAUGUUGACUAAAUGCAUAAAUGAUGCUUAUGGCAUAUUUGAAUAGCGUUGCUUUGUUGUGUUAUCCACAAGGGCAGCAUUAUUUAAGUAUGACCAUAUAGGAUUGAAGAGUUAACUAGAACACUAUAAUUUGUUGUGCUAUCCACAAAACUAUGAGUGAUCUAAAAGCAAGAGAGAAAAAUAUUGAGAAUUGUAUGAGGUACAAUUGGUAAAGAGUUUUCCACUCUUGAACUCAUGAAUGCUUGUUGUGUUAUCCACAAGGUGUUUGUGAGGAAUAGGGAUCUCAACCUCACUAAGAAACAUAAGGAUGUUUUUCAUUUUUCAUACUUGAGGACUAUGAAAUUCGUUAAAAUAGUGGGAGACAAUUAGACAAAAGUUCUAAUCUAGUUGUGCAUGUCAUCAUGAGUUAUCCGCUUAUAUUGUGUUCUUGUCAUUGUAGAUUAACUACACAUAUGGCAUCCUCACGAUCACUAAGAGGCAUACUAGAUGCUAACAAAUUGACUGGACCAAACUACGUGGACUGAUUAAGAAAUCUGAGAAUUGUUCUCACUUAAGAGAAAGUCUCCUACAUACUGGAUACACCUACACCCGAUACGAUCGGAGAAGUGCAUCUGAGAAGAAAAGGGCCACAUACAAGAUGUGGAAGGAUGACCGUUAAAUGCAUCAUGCUUGCCUCGAUGAGCAAUGAGCUUUAGAGGCAGCAUGAGGACAUGGAUGUUCCUUCUAUACUCUUUAAUGUUAAGGAGUUAUAUGGGGAACAAAGUCGAACUGCUAGAUAUGAGAUAUCUAAGCAGUUGUUCCGUGCUCGCAUGACUGAAGGCACAUCCAUGCAAACUCAUAUCCUAAAGAUGAUUGAUUUGAUCACUCGUCUAGGACAAUUGGGUUUCGCCAUGGACGGUAAACUUAGUCAGGAUUUGAUCCUGCAGUCUCUCUCCGACUCCUCUCAGUUUGUCAUAAACUAUCAUAUGAACAAACUGAAUAUCACCCUACCGAGCUGUUGAACAUGCUGAAAAUAACAGAGAGCCAUUUCAAAGGAGAAAAGGCUCCAGUUCUUCUUGUCGAUAAGAUCAACAAGAAGAAAGGCAAGAAGGAUUCCCAAAAAAAAGUUGAACUCUAAGACUGGCAUCUCCAAAAAGAAGACGAAGAAGAUCUCUGCCAAAGGUACUUGCUAUCACUGUGACAAGGAGGGGCACUGAAAGAAGAAUUACAUGGAAUACCUUGCAAUUGUGAAACAAGCAAAUAUUGCUAAAGGUUUGUAUAUGAUACAAACUAACUUAUCAUUAAGUAUUUCAAUUUCAGAUUCUUGGAUAUUGGAUAUCGCCCGUGGCUCACACCUUUGCAAAUCAUUGCAGGAUCUGCAGAAAAUAAAGAGUCUGAAUAAAGGUGACUUCGAGCUGUUCGGCGAUAGCGAAGAGUCCAUGCAGGUCGAAGCCAUGGGAAUCAGGAUUUUGAAGUUGCCUUCUAGUAAAGUUUUGGAACUGAAGACCUGUUAUUAUAUUCUUAAUGUCGUUAGAAAUAUUAUUUCUGUACCUUUGUUAUUAAAAUAAGAUUUUAAAAUAAAAAUAAAGAACAAUGAUUGUUCUAUAUAUUUUUCUAACGAAUUUUAUGGAAAUGCUUAUAUUGAUAAUGGUCUUCUAUUCCUAUCACUUAAUGAUAAUGUACUUCAUAUUGAUAAUAUGAAAAAAAGAAAAAGAGAGGAUGUGAAUGCACAUCCUCUGGCACUGCCGACUUGGUCAUAUAAAUAAGUCAAGAAUUAAUAAGUUGUACAAAGAUAAAUUUUUUGAUCCUUAUGAUUUUGAAUCAUAUAGAACUUGUGAAUAUUGUCGCAUGGGUAAAAUAACCAAAACUCCAUUUACUGGACAUGGAGAAAGGGCGAGUGACAUCUUGGACCUUGUACAUACUGAUGUUUGUGGUCCAAUAUUGACUCAAGCCAGAGGUGGAUACUCUUACCUCAUCACAUUUACUGAUGAUAUGUCUAGGUUUGGAUGUAUAUUUAAUGAAAUACAAAUCUGAAGCUUUUGACAAAUUUAAAGAGUAUCAAAGAAUGGUUGAGAAACAAACCGGUCAAAGUAUUAAAGCUCUUCGAUCUAAUCGAAGAGGAGAAUACUUAACUAGUGAGUUCCUCGAUCAUUUAAAACCAAAUGGUAUACUCUCUCAAUGGACAUCUCCUUACACUCCAUAAUUAAAUAAAAUUACGGAAAGGAGGAAUCGCACCUUAUUAGAUAUGGUGCGGUCCAUGAUGUGUUUCACGGAUCUUCCGAUCUCUUUUUGGAGAUAUGCUCCCAAGGCCGCAGCAUAUAUUUUGAAUAAAGUGCCAUCAAAAUCUGUCUCUAACACUCUAUAUAAGAUAUGAAAAGGGAAGAGACCCGGUCUUAAAUAUCUUAAGAUUUGGGAUUGCCCGACUUAUGUAAAAAAUGUUGGACAUAAGCUAAGUGCUAGAUCAAAAAAAUACAGGUUUAUAGGUUAUCCCAAGGAGAGUAUAGGAUACUACUUCUACCAUCCUACUCAACAAAAGGUAAACGUUGGUAGGCAUGCCGUUUUCUUAGAGAAAGAGUUUAUCCAAGAAGGGGACAGUGAGAGGUCUGUUGAACUUGAGAAAGUUCAAAACCUACAACCCAUUCAGGAUUCACAAGAUGAUUCUCAACCAGAUGUGCCCAUUGUUAAGGCACAGCCACUACACACACCUCCUCUCCAAAGGUUAAGUAGAGUGCGUAAUGUACCACUCAGGUAUGGAUUUGUCAUUGAGAAUGAUAACAUAUCCCACAUCAUUGAGAAUGAUGAUCCUACGACCUAUUUGGAAGCUAUCAUGAGUAGUGACUCUGACAAAUGNNNNNNNNNNNNNNNNNNNNACGCCUGAGGGUGUAACCCCAAUAGGCUGUAAAUAGGUCUUCAAGAGGAAGAUAAGAGUAGAUGGCCAGAUAGAGACCUAUAAAGCCAGGCUGGUGGCAAAAAAUUUUAGACAAAAACAAAGUGUUGAUUAUGAAAAAAUCUUUUCGCCGGUAGUCAUGCUUAAGUCUAUUCGGAUUAUGCUUGCUAUUGCUGCAUACCAUGACUAUGAGAUCUAGUAAAUGGAUGUCAAGACUGUCUUCCUCAAUGGAAAUCUUGAGGAAGAAGUCUAUAUGACUCAACCAAAGGGAUUUAUCUCUAGUGGGAGAGCAAAUCAGGUAUGCAAGCUGAAUAGAUCUAUUUAUGGAUAAAAACAAGCAUCGAAGAGCUGGAACAUCUGUUUUGAUGAGACAGUCAAAUCGUUUGACUUUAUUAAAAAUGUGGAUGAACUUUGUGUGUACAAGAAGACUAGUGGGAGUGCUAUUAUCUUCUUAGUCUUAUAUGUGGAUGACAUACUACUCAUUGAGAAUGAUAUCUCGAUAUUGCAAUCGGUCAAGACAUGGCUAUCACAAAAAUUUUUCAUAAAAAACUUGAGUGAAACGUUCUAUAUACUUGGUAUAAAGAUCUUUAGGGAUAAAUCAAAAAGGAUGCUUGGCUUAUCCCAGUCCAGGUACAUAGACCUUGUGUUGAAGAGAUUCAACAUGGAGAGAAGUAAAAGAGGUUACUUACCCAUGGAUCAUGGCAUACAACUCUCUAAGAAGAUGUCUCCUAAGACACCUGAAGAGAGAAAUAGAAUAAAUUCUAUUCCUUAUACUUCGGCUAUAGGAUCAAUAAUGUAUGCUAUGUUAUGUACCAGACCUGAUGUGGCUUAUGCCUUAGGCAUUGUAAGUAGAUUUCAAGCUGAUCCCAAAGAGGAUCAUUAAAAAAUUAUGAAAAACAUACUCAAGUAUUUGAGAAGGACUAAGAUGUUUUUUUUAUAUAUGGAGGAUCUGAUUUAAAACUGGAAGGUUAUACUGAUUCUAGUUUUUAAUCUGAUUUAGAUGAUAGCAAAUCCAUAUCUGGAUAUGUGUUCACCCUGUAUGAUGGGGCAGUAAGUUCGAAGAAUUCUAAACAGCAAACUAUUGCUGACUCAGUUACUGAGGCUAAGUACAUUGCUGCUAGUGAGGCUGCUAAGAAGGCCAUCUGGAUGAAGAAAUUUAUCUUAGAAUUGGGUGUGAUUCUAGGGAUUGAACAACCAGUGCCCCUUUAUUGUGAUAUACUGGGACAGUUACUCAAGCCAAGAAACCGAAGUCUUAUCAUAAAUCUAAGUACAUCCUAAGACGAUUCCACCUCGUUCGAGAGAUAGUUGAAAGACAUGAUGUGAUCGUGGAGCGAGUUAAUAUCAAGAACAAUAUAGUGGAUCCGUUCACUAAGGCCUUGUCAUUGCAGCAGUUUGACCGUCAUCUUGAUUACAUGGGCAUCAAGUAUAAGGGCGAUUGGCUUUAGUGCAAGUGAAAGAUUGAAAGAAUAAUGCUAUACAAGCCAAUCACAUACGGGAUGUGAUAGGAUGUUUUUUAUAAUUUGUCUUUAAAACUCAUGUAAUUAACAUUAAUAUUUAAUAAAAUAAGCAUUUUCGAUUCAUUAUAUGCUGCAUCUUAUUGUUUUUAAGAUUAUAAUGAACUCCAUAAGUCUGGGCAAUAGUUUUAGGAUUGUGAUGAGAUCACGCUAGUAAGACCUAAAUUCUUGAUAGUCAUGAUCUAAAAUAUUCUCAGUUAUUGGUUCAUUGAGUCGAAGAUCAAUGAUACCGGUAAGACUAGCAUGUCCUGUGUAUGCUCAGAGAUGAGAGUGGUUGAUUUCACAACCACUUGUGUGAUGACACUAAUACAAGAAUAUAGGUGCUCAUUAAAGAAUGAGUUUACUGAAUAGACCUACAAGAGAACAUAUGAUGGAGUCUUAUUUACAUGUCAGCUGAUAGUUCUCUAGUAGGAGUUGUGUAAGUGAUCCUUUGACCUGAGAUCGCCAUGGUACCUUGUGUACAUGAAUCUAUGUUUUGGUUCACUUCUUUGGAAGUGUUUCAAGUACGGAAGGAGUUCUUUGUGCUCACCAGGUCUCAUGCCAAAAUAUUAAUGCCGCCCCCUCUUAAUUAGCGUUGUGAUGUAAAGAGUCCUUAAUGAAGGCUCCUAUCUUAUCUUAUCUCUUCGUUUCUCAUCCAGAACUCUAUUUAUUUCAUGCUGAUUUAUUAUGGAGAAUUUAUGGGGCGCAACUGUGUGAAGGCUCUUGUGUGCCAAAAUAAAUCACGGUGAUUUAUUUCACCGCGUGAGAAGUUGAAGGGCCAAAAGUUGGUGCCCCUUGGUCCUUCCUCACGUCCCUUCUUCACCUAUUUAUAUGGGACGUCCCAUAUGAAUCAGGUACUAAAUUUUGGGUGAAAAUCAAAGCCAAACGGUGUGUAAAAGAGAGAAAAAAUUCUAGAAAAAAUCUGAGAAAAAGAAAAAAAAUUUGAGAGAAAAAAAGUUGUAAGAAGGGUGGUGAGAGAAUUAGCAAGUGUUGCUAGUUAGCCCUAGGGUUUGAUUUUUUCAUGUGUUGGAGCCC